GACGAACGCUGGCGGCGUGCCUAACACAUGCAAGUCGAACGGAGUGGCGAACGCGUGAGUAACACGUGGGUGACCUGCCCUGCAUUUCGUGAUAAGCCUGGGAAAAUGGGUCUAAUACCGGAUAGUGUGGGAUGGGCCCGCGGCCUAUCAGCUUGUGGGUGGGGUAAUGGCCUACUAAGGCGGCGACGCGUAGCCGGCCUGUGAGGGUGGACGGCCAAAUUGGGACUGAGAUACGGCCCAGAGUCCUACGGGAGGCAGCAGUGGGGAAUAUUGCACGAUGGGCGGAAGGCGGGUGCAGCGGCGCCGCGUGGGGGAUGACGGCCGUCGGGUUGUAAACGCCUUUCACCAUCGACGCGGUAGAUGGAGAAGAAGGAACGGCUAACUACGUGCCAGCAGGCGCGGUAAUAC
rnacentral:rRNA from 1 species